UCGCCCGCCGCGCGCGGCGGGCGGGGCGGGGGCACGGGGGGCCUACGGGAGGCAGCAGUGAGGAAUAUUGGUCAAUGGGCGAAAGCCUGAACCAGCCAAGUAUCGUGCAGGAUGACGGCCCUAUGGGUUGUAAACUGCUUUUAUACAGGAAUAAAGUUAGCCACGUGUGGUUAUUUGUAGGUACUGUAUGAAUAAGGACCGGCUAAUUCCGUGCCAGCAGCCGCGGUAAUA
rnacentral:rRNA from 1 species